GCCUAACACAUGCAAGUCGAACGGGAUACCUUCAAAGGAGGCUUCGGCCAACGGAGAGGACUAUCUAGUGGCGGACGGGUGAGUAACGCGUGAGCAACCUACCUUUCGGAGGGGGACAACAGCUGGAAACGGCUGCUAAUACCGCAUGAUAUAUACUUAUGGCAUCAUGAGUAUAUCAAAGAUUUAUCGUCCGAAAGAUGGGCUCGCGUCUGAUUAGCUAGUUGGUAGGGUAACGGCCUACCAAGGCGACGAUCAGUGGCCGAACGGAGAGGUUGAACGGCCACAGUGGGACUGAGAUGCGGCCCAGACUCCUACGGGAGGCAGCAGUGGGGAAUAUUGGGCAAUGGGGGAAACCCUGACCCAGCAACGCCGCGUGAAGGAAGAAGGCUGUCGGGUUGUAAACUUCUUUGACGAGGGACGAAAAAAAUGACGGUACCUCGAAAACAAGCCACGGCUAACUACGUGCCAGCAGCCGCAGUAA
rnacentral:rRNA from 1 species